GGCGACGUAGCCAAGUGGUAAGGCAGAGCUCUGCAAAAGCUUUAUUCACCGGUUCGAAUCCGGUCGUCGCCU
rnacentral:tRNA from 1 species